UACGAAGGGGACUAGCGUUGUUCGGAAUCACUGGGCGUAAAGCGCACGUAGGUGGAUUUGUAAGUCAGGGGUGAAAUCCCGGGGCUCAACCUCGGAACUGCCUUUGAUACUGCGAAUCUUGAGUCCGAUAGAGGUGGGUGGAACUCCUAGUGUAGAGGUGGAAUUCGUAGAUAUUAGGAAGAACACCAGUGGCGAAGGCGGCUCACUGGUCCGGUACUGACGCUGAGGUGCGAAAGCGUGGGGAGCAAACAGG
rnacentral:rRNA from 1 species